rnacentral:rRNA from 1 species
UCUCUGUUCUACAGCGAAUUGUAAUCUUGAGUAGUCAUGCUCACCGGGGUGUGGCGCAGAAGUGCCCUCGAACGGGCCGCCAGAGAGGGUGACAGCCCCGUACGCGGUGCCGCGUCCUAACGAGCAGGCUUACAAAGAGUCGGGUUGUUUGGUAUUGCAGCCCUAAGCGGGAGAUAAACUUCUUCUAAGGCUAAAUAUAUGUGGGAAACCGAUAGCGAACAAGUACUGUGAAGGAAAGAUGAAAAGCACUUUGGAAAGAGAGUCAAAAGACCUGAAACCGUUGAGGAGGAAGCGGUAGAGAUGAAUUCUAUGCUGAUUUGCUGGGAAAUUGAUCCAAUCUUUUUGGAGUUCGUGAUUUUCAACCUCACUGCUUUAAACUAGAGGAAAUCUAUUACUUGCAAUUCAGUAUGAGGCCGGAUGGGAUUAGAUAGUUGCAAAACACUUUUAGGGCUGCCUUCCUUCGGGAAGUACCCUAUUUGUCCUACAAAUAUCUAGUCUGAGGUGCCUUGUGCGAUCCGGUCAAAAUGGUCUUUACCGACUCGUCUUGAAACACGAACCAAGGAGUCUA